rnacentral:rRNA from 1 species
UGCCUCAUGAAUAAAACCAUCAUAAGGUACGUCCUGCCCGGUGAACUAAGGUUUAAACGGCCGCGGUAUACCUGACCGUGCAAAGGUAGCAUAAUCACUUGCCUUUUAAUUGGAGGCUGGUAUGAAUGGAUAAACGAAAGACUAACUGUCUCUAAAAUACUACUAUAAAUUAACCUUCAGGUGAAGAGGCCUGAAUAAAAUUAAAAGACAAGAAGACCCUAUAGAGUUUUACUUUAAAAUACAAGGCCAAAUUCGCAUUUGGUCUGACAUUGAAAGUUUAGUUGGGGCGACUGAGGAAUAAUCCCACCUUCCUCCACAACAAGAAUCAAAUCAAUAAAAUGACCCUCUAAAGAUCAAAGAAACAACAUUACCUUAGGGAUAACAGGCUAAUCUCCCCAGAGAGUCCAAAUUGACGGGGAGGGUUGGCACCUCGAUGUUGGCUUAAGACACCUAUUAAAUGCAGAAGUUUAAAUCAGUUGGUUUGUUCAACCAUUAAAGUCUUACG